CCUACGGGGAGGCAGCAGUGGGGAAUAUUGGACAAUGGGCGAAAGCCUGAUCCAGCCAUGCCGCGUGUGUGAAGAAGGCCUUCGGGUUGUAAAGCACUUUCAGUGGGGAAGAAAGCCUUGGGGCUAAUACCCUCGAGGAAGGACAUCACCCACAGAAGAAGCACCGGCUAACUCCGUGCCAGCAGCCGCGGUAAUACGGAGGGUGCGAGCGUUAAUCGGAAUUACUGGGCGUAAAGCGCGCGUAGGCGGUCUGAUAAGCCGGUUGUGAAAGCCCCGGGCUCAACCUGGGAACGGCAUCCGGAACUGUCAGGCUAGAGUGCAGGAGAGGAAGGUAGAAUUCCCGGUGUAGCGGUGAAAUGCGUAGAGAUCGGGAGGAAUACCAGUGGCGAAGGCGGCCUUCUGGACUGACACUGACGCUGAGGUGCGAAAGCGUGGGUAGCAAACAGGAUUAGAUACCCCGGUAGUC
rnacentral:rRNA from 1 species